rnacentral:sRNA from 1 species
CCCAUUGAUACCCUACAGCGCAAAAAGGCUGGUGACUAAAAAGUCACCAGCCA